CGGAGGGUGCAAGCGUUGUCCGGAUUUAUUGGGUUUAAAGGGUGCGUAGGUGGCUCUAUAAGUCAGUGGUGAAAGUCUGCAGCUUAACUGUAGAACUGCCAUUGAUACUGUGGAGCUUGAGUACUGAUGAGGUAGGCGGAAUUGAUAGUGUAGCGGUGAAAUGCAUAGAUAUUAUCAAGAACACCGAUUGCGAAGGCAGCUUACUAAGGGGUUACUGACACUGAGGCACGAAAGCGUGGGGAUCAAACAGGAUUAGAUACCCUGGUAGUCCACGCCAUAAACGAUGAUUACUCGAUGUAUGCGAUAGACAGUAUGCGUCCAAGCGAAAGCGUUAAGUAAUCCACCUGGGGAUACGACCGCAAGGUUG
rnacentral:rRNA from 1 species